rnacentral:lncRNA from 1 species
GGUGAGGAAAAAAAAAGGUGCAUUGAAAGUUAAAGAAAAUAAUAAUUUUUACUUUUAUUAUUGGUUGGUUCUCUUUACUAGCGAAUGUAAUGUAAUUCAGACCAAAUAUGUCACGACCCCACCUGUAGGCCUGUGACCGACACUAGGGAAUGGGUAGGCUUAAGGCCACCGAAACCCGUAGUAAGCCUGACACUCACUGAUUUAAACAAAUCUCAUCUCAAAUUAAUAUUAUUAAAGCCACAAAUUAUCUUAAUAGCUACAUUCUACAUAAAUAUUUCGGUCUGCCAGAAAAAUUAGGCGAGACCCGAAACUCAGAAAAUUUACAACUGAUACAUCUACUAUUACUACUCUGAAGAAUCUAAGAUUUACCAAUUUACAUACCAAAUCAAAUACAUCACCCGAUGAUGAAGGAGUCGGGUUACUGAAUAAGAGUCGCGAGAGGACUAACAGUCACGAAUCUGAAAAACAGUAAAUAGAGACUGUCAGUCUCGAGAGUGAGUUAAAAUCAUAUAUCUAUAACAGUUUCAAAUAUCUCAAUGUCACCUUAUUUAAUUUUAAAAUAAUUAAUAAAUCACGCGAACCAUACGUGUCAUGUUAAAACAUAUGUGUCAUGCCAUGCUUAAACAAAAN